rnacentral:sRNA from 1 species
UAUCAACUUUACAAUCGUUGCUUUGCUAUUGUCUUUGAUUAUGUCUGAGUAGUGAACCGUAUUUCUGAGGAUGUGAUAGAGUAGUUGUGGUUUACUUGGUCGUGUUAGGUGGUUGAGAUUAGAAU